CUAAGUAAAAGAAGGUUAUUAUUUUUAUCACUUAGUUUAAUUCAUCUAUUGGGAUAAUAUAUUCUUCCCUCUUUUAAAUUGUUAAGGUAGUGAAUGGCAUAGAUUGUUCUAAUGUCAACUCUCUUGUGAAUUCUGGAGUAAGUCCAACUUUCGUAUUAUCUUUUUAAUAUGCUAAUGUACCAGCUUGCUCUUACUAUGUAAAGAACCACUUCAAAACUUAGUAUUUUAAAACAACAGGUAUUUGUUAUUUUUCAGGAUUAUCUGAGUUGGUUGUUUUUUAUGUUGGAGCUGGCGCAGCUGGUCUGCUGAUCCAGGAUGGCCUCACUCACGAGUGGAACUUCAGCAGGAAUAACUGAGAUGACUGGGAUCAUCAGGGUCUUGGUAUAGAUGGGGUUCUCUGGAAGCAGAUUCUGGGAUGGAAUUUGAGGUGCAAGAUGUUUAUUAGGAACCAAUACCUGUGAAAGAAAAGGAGAAAAAGGAUUGUUGCAGAGGGAGAAGUUGAACUGUGAUGCAGGCUUCACGAAGACUUGGCACACUUUGUAGGGAGCUCUGGAGUGAACAUUGCCCAUGUGUGGUGUCCAUUGUCAGGCUGAAAUGGCCAGUCUUUAUACACACACCUCAUUCACAAGGGUGUGACCUCUGCUGCUGAGGUGGACCCUGAGGAACUGACAGCUGAAGACUGCUGACCACCUUUCCUACAGCUGGACAACCAGACCUUCUUUGAAGGGAAAUUGGGCAACAAAUCUCCAUGUCUACCACAGCCUUCUCUCCAGGAGGUUAACCCUGACUCGUUGUUCCUAUGGUGGCAGAAGGGUUUGUAGCAUAAAGAUAGGGCAAGCAUAAUGUGCAAGUACAUUCCAAACAUCUACUAACCUUUUAUUUGCUAAUGUCUCAUUGGCCAAAGCAGUCAGAUAGUCAAUAUCAGAUUCAAAGCUUGGACAGACAGACUUCACCUCUUAAUGGGAGAAGUGACAGUCAUAUUGUAAAGGAGUGUGCCUACAUGGACAGGAAGAAUUUGUUGCUGCUCUCCUGGAUCGUCUUGAUCCAAGCUAACAUAUCAUCUCUGUCUUCAGCCUGAAACAGGCAUUCACAGUCGGACGUGGUAAAGUGAAUGACCCCGAAGGACAACGUACAUCUGUUUCCAUGGCCAAAUACUUCCACCA
rnacentral:lncRNA from 10 species